GCUUCGUUAGCUCAGUUGGCAGAGCACCUGCCUUUUAAGCAGGGUGUCCGGGGUUCGAAUCCCCGACGAGGCA
rnacentral:tRNA from 1 species